rnacentral:rRNA from 1 species
GACGAACGCUGGCGGCGUGCUUAACACAUGCAAGUCGAACGGUGAAGCGCCUUCCUUUUUGGUGGGUGUGGAUGAGUGGCGAACGGGUGAGUAACACGUGAGUAACCUGCCCCCUUCUUCUGGAUAACCGCAUGAAAGUGUGGCUAAUACGGGAUAUUCUGGGUCUGUCGCAUGAUGGGUCUGGGAAAGAUAUUGUUUCGGUGGGGGAUGGGCCCGCGGCCUAUCAGCUUGUUGGUGGGGUGAUGGCCUACCAAGGCGGUGACGGGUAGCCGGCCUGAGAGGGUGGACGGUCACACUGGGACUGAGACACGGCCCAGACUCCUACGGGAGGCAGCAGUGGGGAAUAUUGCACAAUGGGCGCAAGCCUGAUGCAGCGACGCCGCGGGAGGGAUGGAGGCCUUCGGGUUGUGAACCUCUUUCGCCAGUGAAGCAGGCCUGCCUCGUUUGUGGGUGGGUUGACGGUAGCUGGAGAAGAAGCGCCGGCUAACUACGUG